GGAAAACUAGCGGCGGCCCCGGCCUCGGCCCCGGCUCUGACUUACCUCGGAGUCGCUUUCGUUUCCGCGGCCACGUAGCCCCGUAGCCCAGGGAUUUAUCAAAGAUGCUGACCUAUUAAAAAACCUUAGAGGCCAAAGUCAUCUCCUGAACACCACAGAAGUAUGGCAUUCUUGGAUUGGCCUGAGUCCCAUACUGAACCUGCAGCUCCCUCUGGAAGUAACAAAGGUUGUCAUGACAUAAGAAACACAGUGCAACGAGAUUUGCCUUUGACUCCAUCCAAAAGUAUUCAGUUAGUCAGCCCUCAAAGCAUCACCUAGAAGGUAAUAUCAGGCCCAUCUAGAGAUGACAGCUAAUGCCUGACAGCAGAAGGGACAAGUGAAUACUAAACUUCUAACAUGCAAGACUCCUGGAGGACUGGGUUUCAUGAGAACGGAGAUCCCACAGGACUAACGGAAAGAGCACUUACCUUGAGAAAACCGGAGUCAUAAAAGCCUGGGAUGUCGAAGGCAAAACCUUGGCACAGCACCC